rnacentral:lncRNA from 1 species
AAGCUCAGAUUCAAGAAAAGCAAGAAUGGUUCCUGGGAUUAACCCUCUUAUUCCACCUCCAUCAAUGCUUAAAACAGUGAUUAGGUUUCCAUAAGUUGGUGGCUGUAGUGGGAUGCUGUUGGUUCUUUCCAUGAGAUUGAUUGAGAAAGUCUGGGCUGCUGCUAUAUAUGUGUGAGAGUAAAUUGAGGAUAAAGAGAUUGUAAUUGAACUGAUGAACUUUAGAAGAAGAGGUUUUAGGAUAAUAGAUCGAGUUCUAUUUGGUGAAUUCAUAUUUGAGAGAACAAGUACAGGUAUUUAUAGACCCUCCUAAACUCAUAAUAUUCCUAAAAUCAACAAGUCAUUGCAUCAAGUUGCCCCCAAAGUGUUUGAAUAACUGGAAUGUCAAUGGAUGAACGAUCGAACGCGAUUCAAAAAUUUGACCCGGUUUUGUACAACUUCCUGGAUAUGGUUCAAGUUGGACCGCAUGCACGUACGUAUAACCAUAUAUAAUUAUUAGAAUGUUCAUGUCAUCAAGUCCAUCAUAUCCUCUUUGCUACAGCUUAAUGUACAUUGUUUCCCUACAUUAUGGACCACAGUUGCAUUCGUGAGAAUUGCAGAAUAGUAGGUUAGACUUCCUCUGUGAGAAUUGUAGGUAAGACUGCAUAGCUGAAGCAUAUCGAAGGCUAGCAAGAAGGAGACAAGUGAGUUAGGCCUAAUCGAUCUCUUUUCUUAAAAUCGCCUAAAUCUGAAGCUAAACCUUUACCAAGAAGCCAAAGCCUUGGAUUGUUAAUUAGUUUCCGGUUAUCUUUUUGAAGCCAACAUACAGUGAAGGCAAUAACGGUGAGAUUGAUGAUGCAGCAAUUCAAGGAGAUCAUACUAAAUCAAGUUUUACGCUGAAUAAAUCAAUUCGAUUCGCAUAAGGCGGCAAGGAUUAUCGAUCAACGAUCGCAUAGAGGCUUGGAAAGGUCAAUAUAUGUGGUAACUUGCCAACGUGAUUGAUCAAACAUAACAGUACAAGGACUUGCAAGAAACUGAUGAAAAGAUUGGUACGUAGUAUACCAUUCCAUUAAUUUGCCUCUGUACUCUAACCAGCUGGGAUGAUGAUGACAGAUACGGAAGAUCCAGGAAAUGUUCAUAAUUUAAUCAUAUUCUAUUGCCACAUGAUUUUGUGUUUAAUUUGUCAUAUAUUUGUUAUCGUAAACUUCAAAUACACUAUAAUCAUUUAGGAUGAUCAUCAAGUACAUCAUCUUCAGUGUUGCAGAUGAUAAACCGAAAUUGACCAUAUAUACAUGGAUUUUGUAAGAAAAUGAAUAGCUCAGAAAGCUCAUCAGCUGUAUCUAAUCCUCCAUCUGGAUCAGGCGCCCUUGAGUCUUAAGUCUUAACAUUAAGUAACAUAUCAAUUUCCUUCUGUUAUAUAUAUGCUUAAUGACAGACGUCUAUUCUUUCUCCAUCAAACUCUGAGUAUAUAUUCAAUCUUUUGUCUCUCAUAAUUUGCUGAGUUUGCUGAUGAUUAAUUCAAGAGACUACAUAGGUAUAUAAUCUUGUUUAAAGAGAUUGCCCUCAGAAGCAUUUCUUACUUCAUGUAAAGUCUUCAAUCCAGAAUUUACCUGAUGUUCAUGAUCAGAAUAAGAACCCUAGCCUGCUCUUGGAGCAUAUAUAAUAUAUAUCUAUAUAUAUAUAUAUAAUCAGUCUGAUAUAUCAAUUUAUUUUAUAGUCAAAAUAUAUAUUCUGAUCAAUCAAGGUUGAAAUAAUCAUACUCCAUGUUCCAUGAAUUGAAGGGAUUUUUUAUUAAUUUAUUGAAGAAAAUGAUAUGCAAAGAUUAUUAUGUGUUAAGUUAUUAAUUUCUGCCAUUCUGCAAGUAUAUAUAAUAUAUAUACUACUGUACGUACACUUCUGUAUAUAUUCUUCUGCUUGGCAGAGAUGCAUAUCCCUUUAAUAAAAAAUGGGUUUAUUCCAAAUUAUCGAAUAUAUUCAUCAGCAUGUAGAUAUACGUACCGUACUAUCUAUAAAUAUCUUAUUCGUUGUUAAAUGUACGUUUGUCAAUUAGUUUUAGUGGCCAAAAAUCCUUCUGGCUUUUUGUCAAGCACUGUUCGAAAUCAAGGCUGCUGGCCCGUCUAGGUGCUAGAAGUCUGCCCACCGCCAUAUCAAGUAGCGUCUAACGAGAGUUUCCAAACCUUGGCUAUAUGCAGUUUGCUGAAAUCCCACCUAGCUAGGCGGCGCCUGUAUACAUGCAUGUUACGCACGAUAACGCCUAGCGAGUUUUCAAACCUACCUUGUUGUCAAGUGAUAAACGCAAUUGAAUCGGCAACAUACGAUGAAUCGCAUGACCGUGACUUAUUCCAUUACGUGGAGUUUCUACAAAAUUGAUUUUACUAUACUUUUAUACCAUCUUUUUGCUCAAGAUAUAUUCCCAUUAAUUUAUUUAUUGUGAUAAGCCAGGUUAGGUGAGAAGCUUGUCCAACAAGAUAAUUAAGAGUACUUUGAGAGAGAUUGAAGAAUGACUUGCUGAAAAUAGUACUUUUGAUCUUUGGAAACAAUGAACAGUUUGUUCCUAUAAAAAAAAAUACAAUGAACAGUUUGUUCCUCCCUAAAAGAGAACAAUUUGUUCUCCUACGUGUCCAGAAAACUGAGCUUAUGUGAAAAAUUGAAAUGGUUGCAGCCAUAUCUUGCAAGCUAUAGCUAGAUUCCAUAUAUUCUUUCAUAUAUAUAUGUCUGUAAAUUAAUUGUCUCAAAACUUCAUAGGUUGCGAACAUGCGUGUUCCAGCAUAAAGCUGGUACCUGCUGCUACGCACAAUGUGCAAAUGAACUUAGAAGGAUCGGAUUGGCCUGUAAUAUUAGACAAUAUCUGCCUUGUUAAUUAUUAGUUAUUUUAAUUUUGACAGAAAAUUAGUUUCGAAGAAAGCUUUGCCCUAAAGAAGGGGCUCGUAGUGCGUAUUAUUUGAUAUAAUUAGUACUUUAGCAGAUUCUGACUUUAGAUUAGUACCUAGUGCUCAAGCACUCAUCAGCUUUUCACUGAAAUGAAUAAAUUUUAUUUUCAUAGUCUGAGUGGUAUGUGCCGUGGUUUAUAGUACUGAAAUUUUCCUUUCUGAAACUUCUCAGUGAAUUUGAACUUAAAAAAAAAAAGUUGUGAAAGCGCUUCCUGCAGAUUGACCAGAACCCAUGAGAAGCACAAGUGAUAGCAUACCUGCAUGCUCAAACUAGUAAAGGAAACACCAGUUUUUUUAAUUGGUUUACAAUGGUGAAGGCAAACUUUGCCAAAAACACAAAAGAAAAAAAGAGAAUGAAGACAAAUAAAUUAUUUGGUAUUAUUGGGGCAAGUGAGUCACUAUAGCCCUACGAGCAUCUUCCACCGUAAGUUAAAUUUCAAGCCAAAUUUAGCUUAUAAAAUAAGAAUAUUCUAUAGAAUCUUUUUUUAGCUUAUCAAAUUCUCCCAUUAUAAGAGCAUCUCCCAUGGUAGGCUAAAUCCUUAGCCAAAUUUGGCUUAAAAAACAAGAAUAUUAUGUGAAAUCUUUUUUUAGCCUAUCAAAGUCAUCCCAUGGUAAGCUAAAUCCUUAGCCACAUUUAUAGCUUUUUGACUUUAAAAAACACUCCCACCAUAAGUUAAAUCUCAAGGUAAACCCAUUUCUAAUUCUUUUGUCAUAUAUAUAUAUAUAUAUAUAUAUAUAAUGUUAUAUUUCUAUGCAUAUUUUUUCUUUUCUCAUAUAUAUAUAUAAUAUUAGAAAUAAUUUAAAACUACAAAUAUUGAGAAGGACAUACAUGGAUCUUGCUACGAAAUUAGAGAUCCAACGUCAGCGUGAGGAUAACAAAAUUAUGCUCAUGAGUUUGGAUUCCAUUUCGGAUCCGAAAGAUCGUGAGUAUUUUGAUAUGAGAAAAAAUGAAAUUAGGCAAAGAAGAGCUCGUGAAUCCUAACAACAACAAUCGCCCAUGACGUUUGGCUAUGACAAUUUUGCUAACAUGAAUCCGUUCCAAGGUGACACACAAACUACAUUCAACUCUGGAAGCUUUAGUAAUGCACUUCAAGUUUCAAGUCAAUAUGGAUCAAGUGGUGAAUACGGAGCAACGCCAAAUUAUGGAGGAAUUGGUGACUAUGGAGGAAUGAGUCUUUAUGAAGGACCUUUUGGAUAUGGAAAAGGUAAAGACUAUGGAGGAAGCGGAGGUACCGGAACAAGCGAUGAACAUGGAAGAGCCCCGUAACGAAAGCGGUGGAGUACCGAAUUACUAUUGAUGGUUAUUAUAAUAUGGGUUUUUUUUUUAUUGAAAAAUAGUAUGUGUUUUUAAUAAGUCUAGCAUUUUAUGUUAGCUAUUUAAUUUCAUUAUGUUGUAAUUUUGUUAAGUUUAGCAUUUUAUGUUAUUUACGUUUUAAUAAGUAAUGUAACCUUUUUCAUGAAUAAACUAUGUACUUUUUUUAUUUAAUAAUUAAUCAAAUAUAUGAUUUUAUCUAAAUAUAUUAGAUAUGGGGCUUACAUGAAAGGUCUCGUCGAGAUCUUCGCAAUGGUAAAAAAAUUAAAUAGAAACGAGUUUUUAAUUAUGUAGUUGUGAGGGAUUAAAAAUUUUUAGUUCAAAUUUAAAAAGGAUAUAAAAUGAAAUAAGAUGGUAGGUAGAUGGGCAAAUCUAGAAAAAAAAAUAAAACUGAAUAAAAUAUUAUUUGGCUUUAGCCUACGGAAGUGGAAGGCCAAAUUUGGCUUACAAAAUUGCUUAGGCUAAAUUUUUGCCUUGGAAAUUGAAAUUUGGCUUAUGGUGGGAGUAACCAUAGGCUAAAUUUGGCUUUUUAGCCUACCAUGGGAGAUGGUCUAAGCUAAAUCCUUGGCCAAAUUAAGAAUAUUUUAGCUUACGAAGCACUCCUACCAUAAGCCAAACCCUAAGGUAAAGCCAUUUUUUUUUCUUUUGUUAUAUAUUUGUUUAAUUCAAUAAUUAGUCAUGAAAAAGAUUUUAUAUAAANNNNNNNNNNNNNNNNNNNNCGCCGGCAUCCACCCCUACCACCAGCAAUAGGCCCCGGCGGCAGCUCCUCCUCCUCCCCCGGUCGUCGCCGCUGCCAUUCUUAACUCUGAGAGGGUAAAAAGAUUAACCAGGGCUAUUUUAGUCAUUUUAGUCGAGAUUGAUGUCAUUUUGAAAGUUUAGGUAUGAAACUGAUUAAAAAAAAAUAUGAGGUGUCAAACUGAUUUUAGACCUAAAGUUCAGGGUAGUAAAGUGAAAUUAUCUCUUAUAUAAAUAUAUUCAAUAUGAGGCUUAUAUGAAAGAUCUCGUUGAGAUCAUCGUGAUGAUAAAAAAAUUUGUUAGUAACAAAUUUUUAAUUUAGAUGUUAGUGUAAAUUAGAAGAACAAUAUUUAAAGUUAAAUAAAAUAAUACUUAGUUUUAGUCUAUCAAACCCAUAAGCCAAAUUUGGCUUACAAAAUAGCUGAAGCUAAAUUUUUUGUCUUGAGAAUUAUAAUUUGGCUUAUGGUGGGAGUAACUAUAGGCUAAAUUUAGUUUUUUAAGCCUAUGGUAGGAGAUAGUCUACAUGCGUGAUUCACAAAUGAGCAAUAAUUGUUCUGCGGAAUCUGCCAAUAGGUGCUCUGCCCAUUGGGGUAGGAUGAAUGCAGGAAUGCGGGUGGUUGGUGCUUCGGAGAUCUAAAGUGUGAAUCACGUUCUAAUCCACUAAUCCAUGCCUCUGGUAGGAAAAUGUUACAUGAACCUGGUUGGAAUACAGGAAAACAAAAAAAGCUAGACUGCAUUAUUUGCGACAAAAUUGCAUGCAACGGUAAUUGUACUAAUUAACAGUUAGUAAUUAAUGAAUUAACCCUACUAAAAGAUGCAAGAUAAUCAAGUCCCCUUCAUAUAUAUUCAAACCAAUGUUGUACUGUACUUUGAUUUUGAUUAUAGCACCCUUUAGCAAUCCUAAUUAAAAAACUCUGGCCUUUUCUUGCUGAAAGUGUACAUAUAAUUGUACAUAAUGACAGUCGGUUCAGCAACUCCUAAAACCAGCGAAGGCUGUCCGCCGAAUAAUGAUUGGAUGACACCACAUAAUGAUUGGCUGUACUCAAGCUUCCCUCUGCCAGCAUACAAACAUAAAUUUCAGACUCCAUUAAAACUUAAAAGCCUCAACUAAAAACACAGAAACUAGCUAUAAACUAAAACAUAAUAAUAGGUAUGCACAGAGUGGAUUUUUAUUAAGGGAUUCUACCUGUAUCCCUACUCAAUUGCUCCCCAAAGGCGAUCACUGGAAGCGCAGAAGCAAAUAAAAUGUAGGAGGUUGGAGCUAAUAUCCAGAAAAUGGAUCGGAGUCAAAACACUAUGAACUAAGCCAAACAACACAACAAAUCAAUCCGACAUCGAAACUAAGAUCAUAAGAUUUAAUUUACCUAAAGCCGGCCAGAACAAAUUUCACCAAUCCAGUCCUGUUUAUAGCAUGCUUUUCUUCCUUUAAAAUCAUUGACAAUACCCUUGAAUGGACUUUUGAUGCUGUCCAUUCCUGUUUUGCAUAGAAAAAGAAAAGGAUUAGAAAUCUCAAUUGGUUUCAUCAAAUUUAUAGCCAAGUUAUGUGAAUCCCAUUAGCAUUAGGUGAAUUACAUGACUCGAAAACACAAGAAAUUAAACACUAUGAACACUGCCAUAGUGUGAUAGAGACACAAAUGUGAAACAAAGUUUGAUACACCAAAAACACGAAACAGAACAUGGGUUUGCAUGUUUGAUAUUAAACCAUGUUACCUUAAAAGAGGGUUUGGUUUGGUUGAUUAUGAACAAUGUGUGACGUGACAGGAGGCGGCGGCGGAUGAAGAGAGAGGUAGACAGAGAGUGUUGUUGUGUGUGUGUGUGUUGCCGGCCGGUGAAGGGUCGCCGGAGGUCUCAGACACUCGUGUUAAGGGGUGCAGGGACAAAGGGAUCCCCUCCCUGUCCCUCUCUCCUUGAUAUUAGAAAACGUGUGUCUCUGUGUUUCUGGCUGUCUUGCUUCUCAAAAUGUUUGGUUUUCGAGAAAGUUUCGGAGAUAUAAAUACAGACGAGGAGACGAGGAGGGAUGCAUGCAGAAGGAGGAUCCGAGUUCGAGUUGACCCGAGGACGAGAAGCUGACGUGGAGGAAGGGGAUUGGCUGGAGGAGAGACGAGUUCGGAGAGCGCGUAACUGAGAAUUUGUAUGGUUUUUGUGUCGACCUUGACUGCGAGUUUGUUUUUGUGUUUUGUUCGUCUAGGUGUUUUUUAGGGCUCAAGUGCUCAACCAUGAAACUGAAAUACAAUUCUGACAGAAAAUCUGACAGAAAAUCCGUUCAUGAUCUACAAUUUUUCUUAAAUUUGAUGUGGGAUGUUAUGAGUUUUCCUUUUACUCAGAUUUACAUAGAUCCUGAAUUUAUUUUUCUUCUAUUUUGGUGAGAACACUUUACAAUGUGCUAUGUCACAAAUGCUAUUAGUUAAAAUCUUUGAAACGUCGACUCCAACCGAAACUUCCAAUCUUUAAUAUAUAGAACGACCGGAAGAAGUUUAUGAUAACUAGUCAUUCGUGAAUGACAUAUGCAACUAACAAACUAGGAAGUUUAGGAAGAUUUAGGUUAUAUUUCUUGUCUUCAUGUUUUGUCAUACUCACCACACAAAAGAAAAAAUAUUAUUAUUGCAAAUUUGCAACACGGACAACGUACUUCACUAUAUAAGAAGAAAUACGGUGUUAGCUAGCUGUUUGAUAGACACAAAAUUGAAUUAUUUUGAGGUCAUGAUCAUCGAUCAGCUAGCCUCCCCUUAAGAACUUGACAUGUUCUGAUCUGGUAGCCUAAACUUCUCCUCCCAACUCCGCGUGGAUUAGAUAUGAUCGAGUAUGCUGUCCUUUCUCUUCUGGGAUUUCUCUGUCAUUUUUGUUUGCUAUAUACCAACCCUGGUAACCCACCUAUACGCAUCAAUUCGAACCCUGAUCGAAAAUUUACAGAAGAAUAGAAAGUCAGAAAGAGAAAGACAGCAUGUUACUCUGUCUAGCAAUGAAGACACAGCUUUCAUGCAGAUACGUACAGAAGAUCCUAGCUGAGCACAGCUUGGUUUUAGCUUUCGCAGCUUGACUGUAAAUGCAUGCAUGCAUGACAACUGAUCUGCAUGCACAGAUAUCAUCUUCGUUCUUAUCAGUGUGACACCGACUCGAUCUGUUGGAGUCCACGUCUUGCGGGUCUUCGUGUUCAUUGUGCUGCCCUAGCUACUCCCAUACGUCCUCGUUUUGCAACUUUAGAAGUGGUAAUAACUAGUCCCACUAUGAGAAAGAAUCAGAGAAAAAAGAGGAUAAGCCUUUACCAGCCUUUACAUGAAACAAUUCGAUAUCCACCUAUCUUCAGUUACUUUGUUUGUGAAGUGGGAAUUGUGCUAAUCUUGCGCAAAAACAACAUAUAUCUUCUCUCGAGCCUUGUGCCUUUAGUUAGCUUUGUAGCACUAUCCGGGAUUAACUUAACCACAUUUAGCUAGCAAUCGGCAAUCCGGGAUUAACUUAACCACAGCUAGCUAGCUAGUGCGUUUAGUGUAAAGUUCAUCUCAAAUUUGGAUCCAAUAACAACGGACUUGCUUGAUCGACUAACCUGAGUGCCCUGUAAGAGAUCGAUGAUUGGGUUUGUGGUCCUUCCAGCUAUCAUAAGUACCGUACGCAGUACGUGAAAUCCCCACCAUAGUUUUAUGAGGAGAUAUUUAUUCAAGGUGAUCGAUCGAUAAAGUUAUACGCAAAAGUAUGCAAUAAGAUCAUUUAGCUUGCAUAGUCUAGCUGCUAUAGUAUAUGUUUCUCCAAUAUUUGGUUACCUGCAAAAACUAAUAUGCAGUACAUGAAUCACGUUUGCUGUUGUCUUUUAGAAGUAGUAUUUACUGUUUAGUACUAUUCCCUAAGUUUGCUGUUUCUAUCUGUGUGUUUAGUGUGGAGAACCAGAGUUCUUAUUCGAUGAGGGGAAAAAUGCAAGUGGAACAAACCCUAAUUGAGUACCCAGAGAACACACCAGGAUAUUAAUUAAGCUGGUAUUAGUUAAGCUCAAGGAUAUUAUAUGAAUAAGAUGUCGGCAUCUUUCCAACUUUUAGGUGUUAGCUAUAAUAGUUAAAAACUAGCCAGUACGUUCAAUCUGGACGGAAACCCUAGCUGCCUUACUGAAACUACAAUUAUAACUUAUUGCUCAUAUCGAUCACAUGCCAUUCUAGACGACGACUUAACAAUCAAUUAACAAGGACUCGAUCGAUCGGGGAUCUAGUACUCUGAAGGAUCUAAGGAACAAUGAACAGCCACCCAUGUUCAUGGAUUAAUUAUAUAAACUUGGUAAUGUCUGUUGCUUGAGAUAGAUUCCAUCAUGGCGGCCUAGGGUUUAAUUAAACUAAUUAAUCUUUCCACUUAUAAUUUAAUUAAUUUGCUUUAGGCACGCGAAGGUCAUCGUUUCUGUUCUGGUUCGUUGACUUGUUGGUAAUAAUCGUAAUCUAGCUAUCUCCGACGGUCAAUUAGAGAAUUAUACAUUUUCCGAUUUAAGUGACCAUAUGGUCAAAUUCACGACAAGAACGUCCCAGAAAGACAGGUGUGCUUAUAAUUGAAUCUUCACAAUAAUAUAACGCACGACAUGCAGGUUCCCUUUGAUCGAAUGGUGUGCGUCUCAGAUAUAUACAACACAUUCAUACUUUUAUAAGCAGCUCAUAUCAAUCAUACAAAUUUCAAGUUGAACUUAUUUAUUAACUUCAUAUAUCAGUGCAUAAUGUAUACAUACGUACGGUUGGUGAUUACAUACAAAGAAGCUGACCCAAAAGGCCAAAAGAAUUCUUGAUUGCUAGCUAAUUUUCCUUUAUUUAUAUAUGUAGAGAUUACAUAUUUCUGAAAUUGGAAAAACUUAAUCAACGAAUCGACAUUGAAGUAACAACAUAUACACACACACACACUGAAAUUAUUUGCCAGACUAUCAGGGUUUUAUUUGGAUACAAUAAUCAAAGAAUUAAAGAAUGAUCAAAGUAUAUGGGAUCAUUUGCCCCCAUACUUUGAACUACAAGAAACUGUUACUUGAACAGUUAAUGAAAAUAUAAAAAAACAACAUUAUGCUAUUGUGUAAUCUAUAUAUAUGUAUAGAGGAAUUCAAAAAUUUUGGAUAUAAGAUGCAUCAAUGUGAGUUCAGCUUCGGCUUGGGCAUGGCACAUUUUCCGUGGGGCGACCUUGCAAGGCGAAGCCACUUCUCUUCAGAGAGUAGUUUUGCAAACCUGCACAUUGAUAAUCAGAACUUUCUGUUAAUAUAUAUAAUGUAUGUUAUACAUAGAUAUUGUUAGAGCAUAUUUAUCAGACUCUAUAUUUUAGUUUUUUAAUUAUUUUAGAGAGCGUGUUUAGCUUUUUAGGUAUUUUAAAAGCUCCAACAAACUAGUCAAAGUUUAGCUAUUUUAACUUUUAGCUAUCUCACUAGCUAAAUAUAGCUAGCGUAGCUAGUGAGAUGUGACUCUCUAUAAUUUAAUACAUUCCUUUUAAGUUAUUUAAUAUGAUAUAUAAAUACAUAUAAACUAUAUAAUCUUUAUUUAUAGAAUAAUAUUAAUUUAAUACUAGCUAAAUUAGAGAGCAUUGAUGCAGACGUAUCUCAAAAAUCGCUAGCCAAAAUGACAUUUUUCUUUAAUUUAACUAAAAUUUAACUCAAAAAUGUCUAGCAUUUGUAAAGAUGCUUUUAAUUUGUUGCAUUAUCAGAUAAAAAUAAUACUAGAGAUAUCGGAGAAAUUAACAAAGUAAUAUAUGUUUGUACUUUGUAUACCUUAUAAGAGCCUCUGCAUUGGUCUCAUGAUUGCAAACCUCAAAUCUGCCAUUCUCCAAAUUAACCCUAGACACAGGUUUCUUCAAUAGGCCUUCUCCAACUUCUAGGAGAUCGUUCAAAUUUUUCUUUGUGGCUACAUCCACCGAAGAUACUUGUCCACGUAGCGUGUCAUCCUGCGUUUUCAUUUCCAUUGAUCAAUUAUUAGAUUUGUCUUUGUCAAAAUUUUAUACGAUUAUUAAUUUCAUGGCUAUCUAGAAGAAUAAAAUUACACAGAGAUAAUUAUAAUAAGAACCUGAAUUCGAAGAUAGUUUUUCUCUGAGCGAAGGGCUUGGAAAACUACAGACAGGUGAAGAUCGACCAUAUCGGCACUUGCCUGACUGUAAACGUUUAUGAUUGGGGUGGAACCACCACUGGUUAACCAUUUCAAGAUGCCCCAUUUAGCUGCUCUCGGCGCAUUGUACUUGAAUUCAGAUUUUGGCGAGCCAGUUCCUAAUGAUAUAACCAAAAACCGUCCAUAGUCCAUGGGUUUUAUAGGGAAAAAAUCGGAGCUCCCCUUGAUUAUUUCCUUUGUAACUUCACCAAUAGCAACCAGAGUCUGAAAUUAAAGCAGAAGUAUUCUGGGUUAUAUAUAUGUUCUUGAUCAUCAAUCUUGGAUCAGUUGGAUNNNNNNNNNNNNNNNNNNNNNNNNNNNNNNNNNNNNNNNNNNNNNNNNNNNNNNNNNNNNNNNNNNNNNNNNNNNNNNNNNNNNNNNNNNNNNNNNNNNNNNNNNNNNNNNNNNNNNNNNNNNNNNNNNNNNNNNNNNNNNNNNNNNNNNNNNNNNNNNNNNNNNNNNNNNNNNNNNNNNNNNNNNNNNNNNNNNNNNNNNNNNNNNNNNNNNNNNNNNNNNNNNNNNNNNNNNNNNNNNNNNNNNNNNNNNNNNNNNNNNNNNNNNNNNNNNNNNNNNNNNNNNNNNNNNNNNNNNNNNNNNNNNNNNNNNNNNNNNNNNNNNNNNNNNNNNNNNNNNNNNNNNNNNNNNNNNNNNNNNNNNNNNNNNNNNNNNNNNNNNNNNNNNNNNNNNNNNNNNNNNNNNNNNNNNNNNNNNNNNNNNNNNNNNNNNNNNNNNNNNNNNNNNNNNNNNNNNNNNNNNNNNNNNNNNNNNNNNNNNNNNNNNNNNNNNNNNNNNNNNNNNNNNNNNNNNNNNNNNNNNNNNNNNNNNNNNNNNNNNNNNNNNNNNNNNNNNNNNNNNNNNNNNAAGAAAUAACAAAUGUGCACGUACCUCGAAGCUGGAAAACACUGUUGGCUGGAGAUUCUUUAUAUCAAACGUAGGAAUGACAACGUUAGUCAAUGUCUGAUGCAGUUUCUUGUUACCUAGCUUUUCCUUUAUCAAGCUAUGUAGAUACUUCCCAUCGUACUUUGGUCCUACUAGAGAUUUGAUGAUGCUUAUAAGAUGAGGAAACAGCCACCAUCUGUCGAGGGUAUAAGGAAUUCAAAGCUGAUUAUAGUUACUUGAAAGCAUAUGAUAGUUAGGGUUUUUUUUUUGAUACGAUAUGAUAGCUAGGGUUAAAAGAAUAUUUAGUAAACUACUAAUAUGCAAGCAUUACGUACGUCUUCUGGGGGAAUAUUUUAGGGCCAUGCUUAAGGUAGAAGUCCUUUAUAUCUUUAGCAGCAAACACCGGUCGGUUAUUCUCAUCUGGGGUUGUAAGCAUGGCCGUCACAAGACCUCCAGUGCUUGUCCCUGAAACCACAUCAAAAUAGUCCGCGAGUCUUGCAUCUUCCCCAUCCAGCUUCUGCAAAAUGAUCAAAAUGUCAGGUCUAUUGGUUGAUCAACCUAGGAGAAAUGCACGACUGCACGAGUCGGACUGCACAUCUUAAUCACAUUGUAUAUGACAGUUGAGUACUUUAGCACGUACUUAAGGCCUCUAGCAUUAUUGAGAUCGGGCAUGCGUGUACAUGUUGGCAUGGACAGUGAAUACGAUACCUACUUAACUUGAAAAUUCAAGGGCGUAACCCUAGUUUGGUAAAAAAACUGAUUUAUGGUUCAUGUGCUACGUACCUGAAGCUCAGAUUCAAGAAAAGCAAGGAUGGUUCCUGGGAUUAACCCUCUUAUUCCACCUCCAUCAAUGCUUAAAACAGUGAUUAGGUUUCCAUAAGUUGGUGGCUGUAGUGGGAUGCUGUUGGUUCUUUCCAUGAGAUUGAUUGAGAAAGUCUGGGCUGCUGCUAUAUAUGUGUGAGAGUAAAUUGAGGAUAAAGAGAUUGUAAUUGAACUGAUGAACUU